rnacentral:rRNA from 1 species
GACGAACGCUGGCGGCGUGCUUAACACAUGCAAGUCGAACGAUGAACCCGGAGCUUGCUCCGGUGGAUUAGUGGCGAACGGGUGAGUAACACGUGAGUAACCUGCCCUUGACUCUGGGAUAACUGCGGGAAACUGUAGCUAAUACCGGAUACGACCCUCGGCGGCAUCGCCAGGGGGUGGAAAGAAUUUCGGUCAAGGAUGGACUCGCGGCCUAUCAGCUAGUUGGUGAGGUAACGGCUCACCAAGGCGACGACGGGUAGCCGGCCUGAGAGGGUGACCGAGCACACUGGGACUGAGACACGGCCCAGACUCCUACGUGAGGCAGCAGUGGGGAAUAUUGCACAAUGGGCGCAAGCCUGAUGCAACAACGCCGCGUGAGGGAUGACGGCCUUCUGGUUGUAAACCUCUUUUAGUAGGGAAGAAGCGAAAGUGACGGUACCUGCAGAAAAAGCACCGGCUAACUACGUGCCAGCAGCCGCGGUAA